rnacentral:tRNA from 1 species
GUAGAGUGUUCGUUUGAUAAGUGAAAAGUCGUAGGUUCGAAUCCUUC